AUAUCUGUCAUCCACAUAAUUAAUUUAAUAAUAGUAACUGACUGAAUGUGAUGGGGGAUGUGUCGUUUGUUUAAUAAAGUGCGUAAAAAUGUUGCGUGACAAAGUGUAUAACAAAAUAUGUAACCAGAGUUUUGCAAAUGAGAUAGAUAAGAUUCUCUAAAUUGUCCACAUAUACCUAUUUUACUUUUACAAUGUAGUUAUAUAUUACAACGAUAGCAACGUAGUUAAUAGAAAGAAAUAACAAGUGACAAAUAACUUUGUUGAAAUGCAUGAAUUCUAAUCAGCAGUUUCCGAGAUUAAAUUCCAAGCUUUCGAAGAUCGUGUCAUGUGGUUCUUUUCCCACACAAAUAAGCAAGUAAAGAGAGAAAAAAAAUAUGCAGAAAAGAUGACUAAUAGUUACAGAUAACUGAAUUAUGCUAAAUCAGAAUUUGUGCACCUUGGACUUGUUACCUCAGAUUAUUUGCAAAUCUUUCAGUGCAAGCAACAAUAACUCGGCAUUUUGAUUAGUACUCGAUUUGCAGCAAUAACUCAAGAGAGAAAGAGAGAGCGAGAGUUUUUUUCUUUCCUUUAUUAAACUUUCGAGCUAAGGAAUACAGUACCACUGAAAUGACCCACCAAUGCUCUAAGCUCCGACAAAGAUAUAUAAGAAUCAAACGCGUAAUCACAAAACCGGAACCUGCUGAUUAUCAGUCAGCCACGAAACCACGCCACCACACGCUUUACUCCGAUAAGGGUUUUACUAUAUUUAAAGAUGGCGGAAAAUGACGCGCAAUCGAGCGACGCAGACGCCAUCUGUCAUUCGCGUCGAUCCAGAAUUACAACAGACCGAUAGAACGGAGUAUUUCUUUUCUCAUCUUGACCUGCUGGGAUAUUCAACCGCCACUUCUUUGUACUUUUUUGAUGUCCGGAAAAUGGCCCGCACUUCAGGAAGUACGCAGAUUCGAAACCCAAAAAGAAGGAAAAAAAGCUGUAUAAACAUAAAAAAUAAGUCAUUUCCGAGUUGUAGCCACUUUUAUGUUAAAAAAAUCGU